CUGUAUAUAGUCUCCACAUUGACUCUGUACCGUAAUACCCUGUAUAUAGCCUCCACAUUGACUCUGUACCGUAAUACAUUGUAUAUAGUCUCCACAUUGACUCUGUACCGUAAUACCCUGUAUAUAGCCUCCACAUUGACUCUGUACCGUAAUACCCUGUAUAUAGCCUCCACAUUGACUCUGUACCGUAAUACCCUGUAUAUAGCCUCCACAUUGACUCUGUACCGUAAUACCCUGUAUAUAGCCUCCACAUUGACUCUGUACCGGGUAUUACGGUACAGAGUCAAUGUGGAGACUAUAUACAGGGGGUACCGGUACAGAGUCAAUGUGGAGGCUAUAUACAGGGGGCACCGGUACAGAGUCAAUGUGGAGACUAUAUACAGGGGGUACCGGUACAGAGUCAAUGUGGAGGCUAUAUACAGGAUAUUACGGUACAGAGUCAAUGUGGAGGCUAUAUACAGGGGGUACCGGUACAGAGUCAAUGUGGAGACUAUAUACAGGGGGUACCGGUACAGAGUCAAUGUGGAGACUAUAUACAGGGGGUACCGGUACAGAGUCAAUGUGGAGACUAUAUACAGGGGGUACCGGUACAGAGUCAAUGUGGAGACUAUAUACAGGGGGUACCGGUACAGAGUCAAUGAGGAGACUAUAUACAGGGGGUACCGGUACAGAGUCAAUGUGGAGACUAUAUACAGGGGGUACCGGUACAGAGUCAAUGUGGAGACUAUAUACAGGGGGUACCGGUACAGAGUCAAUGUGGAGACUAUAUACAGGGGGCACCGGUACAGAGUCAAUGUGGAGACUAUAUACAGGGG
ensembl:lncRNA